rnacentral:rRNA from 1 species
UACGAAGGGGGCUAGCGUUGUUCGGAAUUACUGGGCGUAAAGGGCGCGUAGGCGGUGUGUCAAGUCAGGCGUGAAAGCCCCGGGCUCAACCUGGGAACAGCGCUUGAGACUGGCACGCUCGAGUUCGGGAGAGGAUGGUGGAAUUCCCAGUGUAGAGGUGAAAUUCGUAGAUAUUGGGAAGAACACCGAUGGCGAAGGCAGCCAUCUGGACCGACACUGACGCUGAGGCGCGAAAGUGUGGGGAGCAAACAGG